UAAUAGCCAGCCUGGUUGCUGUAGCCACAGAGGAAUUUUCAAGGACAAGAACCAGUGCUGGUAAAACUGUGGUCUCGUGUGGUUUUCCAUAGCGGCUCUCGGCAAGGAUUUUCAAGAAAGGAAUACCAUCUCCAAAUCAUGAUGUGCCAAUAAGCUCCAGUUAGCUGCGGCCUUUUCCCCAGGUGGUAGUCCUGCAAUCUGAAUCCAGGAGAUGCAGCUCUGAAUCCAAUAUUUCAGAAGAAUGAAGAUGAAGCAGACCCAGGAGGAACUGUCUGUUGAAGAACCCCCCCCCCCCCCAGCCACCAAGCUGCCCACCAGAGGCCAAGCUGUACUUGGUGUUUGCCAACAUGCUGUAAUUUCCAGCCUGGUUGCUGUAGCCACAGAGGAAUUUUCAAGGACAAGAACCAGUGCUGGUAAAACUGUGGUCUCGUGUGGUUUUCCAUACCGGCUCUCGGCAAGGAUUUUCAAGAAAGGAAUACCAUCUCCAAAUCAUGAUGUGCCAAUAAGCUCCAGUUAGCUGCGGCCUUUUCCCCAGGUGGUAGUCCUGCAAUCUGAAUCCAGGAGAUGCAGCUCUGAAUCCAAUAUUUCAGAAGAAUGAAGAUGAAGCAGACCCAGGAGGAACUGUCUGUUGAAGAACCCCCCCCCCCCCCCCACCAAGCUGCCCACCAGAGGCCAAGCUGUACUUGGUGUUUGCCAACAUGCUGUAAUUUCCAGCCUGGUUGCUGUAGCCACAGAGGAAUUUUCAAGGACAAGAACCAGUGCUGGUAAAACUGUGGUCUCGUGUGGUUUUCCAUACCGGCUCUCGGCAAGGAUUUUCAAGAAAGGAAUACCAUCUCCAAAUCAUGAUGUGCCAAUAAGCUCCAGUUAGCUGCGGCCUUUUCCCCAGGUGGUAGUCCUGCAAUCUGAAUCCAGGAGAUGCAGCUCUGAAUCCAAUAUUUCAGAAGAAUGAAGAUGAAGCAGACCCAGGAGGAACUGUCUGUUGAAGAACCCACCCCCCCACCAAGCUGCCCACCAGAGGCCAAGCUGUACUUGGUGUUUGC